GACAGAGAUGCCAAGCGUUGUUCGGAAUCACUGGGCAUAAAGGGCGCGUAGGCGGCUACGUAAGUCAGGGGUGAAAGCCCCCGGCUCAACCGGGGAAUUGCCUUUGAUACUGCGUGGCUUGAGGUCGGAAGGGGAAAGUGGAAUUCCGGGUGUAGCGGUGAAAUGCGUUGAUAUCCGGAGGAACGCCGGCGGCGAAAGCGACUUUCUGGUCCGAAUCUGACGCUGAUGCGCGAAAGCUAGGGGAGCAAAC
rnacentral:rRNA from 1 species